rnacentral:rRNA from 1 species
UGGGGAAUAUUGGUCAAUGGAGGAAACUCUGAACCAGCAACGCCGCGUGAAGGAUGAAGGUUUUCGGAUUGUAAACUUCUUUUAUCGGGGAAGAUGAUGACGGUACCCGAAGAAUAAGCCACGGCUAACUACGUGCCAGCAGCCGCGGUAAUACGUAGGUGGCAAGCGUUGUCCGGAAUUACUGGGUGUAAAGGGCGAGUAGGCGGGACUGUAAGUCAGAUGUGAAAUGCAAAGGCUUAACCUUUGAACUGCAUUUGAAACUAUGGUUCUUGAGUGAUGGAGAGGCAGGCGGAAUUCCCGGUGUAGCGGUGGAAUGCAUAGAUAUCGGGAGGAACACCAGUGGCGAAGGCGGCCUGCUGGACAUUAACUGACGCUGAGGAGCGAAAGCGUGGGGAGCAAACA